UGGGGAAUAUUGCACGAUGGGCGCAAGCCUGAUGCAGCCAUGCCGCGUGUAUGAAGAAGGCCUUCGGGUUGUAAAGUACUUUCAGCGAGGAGGAAGGCGUUGUGGUUAAUAACCGCAACGAUUGACGUUACUCGCAGAAGAAGCACCGGCUAACUCCGUGCCAGCAGCCGCGGUAAUACGGAGGGUGCAAGCGUUAAUCGGAAUUACUGGGCGUAAAGCGCACGCAGGCGGUCUGUCAAGUCGGAUGUGAAAUCCCCGGGCUCAACCUGGGAACUGCAUCCGAAACUGGCAGGCUAGAGUCUUGUAGAGGGGGGUAGAAUUCCAGGUGUAGCGGUGAAAUGCGUAGAGAUCUGGAGGAAUACCGGUGGCGAAGGCGGCCCCCUGGACAAAGACUGACGCUCAGGUGCGAAAGCGUGGGGAGCAAACA
rnacentral:rRNA from 1 species